AUAAAUACCAUUUUUUAAAGAUGACAAUAAUCAACAACAGAAGAUAAUCGUCGAUUCAGACUAGGAAAACAUUGAGUGUCAAGAAUUGAUCAUUUGACGUAAUGAGUAGAUACGUCGUCGCAAUCAAAAAAAGAUGGAAGCCAUCAGCUCAUAUUGCUUUGAAUAGAACUUGCAUAGAUGAAGUUCAUCAUCAAUCGGAAUCGUUAGGAGAGGAGAGGGAUUAUUAUAACGAUUCAGUAAUUUCAAACAGAGACCAUAGAAAAAUUUAAAUAAUGAUACUAACUAAUCAUCAUUUUAUUUAAUCCCAUUUAUUUCGAUUCAUUAGAUUUUCUAAUUUCAAUUACGAAAACAAUAUAAAAAACAACGUAAAUUAUCUC